CUCUGCCUCUCACUAAAUCUCACAUCUCUCUCUCCCUCUGCCUUUCUUCUACAAUUGAAGACAUAUCAUUCAUUCAACACCAAGCUCUCCCUCAAUCCAUUUCUCUCGGCGUUAUCACCACGCCUUUGUCACACAGCAGAACUAAGAUUGAAAGAGAAAACAAGAGAACAAGUUCUAAUGAUAUUAAAGUUUGCAACUUUAUCAAGAACGAAUCAGUCAAAAAAUUUCCAAACAUUCACCAAGGGCCUAAUUUCGAUUUCGUGAACUACUAUGAUUAUGUGAAAGCAUGACAUAGGAUUGAAUGCAGAGACUUUCAUAAAAUUGUGGAUAUACCUUCCGGAAGAAGCAAAAACCUGCAGAAGAGGAUGUAUUGAAAAAGAUCACAACUCACUUAAUUUCUCCUUCACACUGUGAUUUCGAGAAUUUGUGUUAUGGAAUCAAAAGUAUAGAGAUUUUUCAUUAUUCAAGGGAUUGAGGAGAAUUUACCUUUGUGAAAGAGAAGAAAACUGCAUAAGAAUUUUGGAACGGCGGAUGCUAACCGUUGAGGUUGUGGGGAGGGAUAUAUGUAUAACAAAUUGACUUGUUUGUUGGAGAAAUUUCAGGGGAUGGGGAUAUUGCUGAUGCAACGUGUGAGAUGGAAUUUGGAGAAGGAUAUGUUGACCAAUAAAUGACUGAUAAAAUAAGUGGGAUCAUGGGAAACCGAUUUCAUGGAAUGGGGAGUAGAGACCGAUUUGUUCUCUUCUUCCGGAUUUUGUGGAACAGAUUUGACAAACAAACACAUGACAAAAUCAGGAAAUUAAUUGGGCUGGUUUGCAGAAAAUAAUGAAGUUAAAUUAGGGUUCAAAAGAAUAAAUGGGCUUCCUCGAGAAAAUCAGUUGGGCUUGUAAAAGAAUAAAUUUAAUAGGUCCAAAUAUGUAUUUUUUUCAAUAAGGAAACAAAGGCGA